UCUUGCUCAAAUGAGUAUUCCAAAGAGAUGCAGAAUGCUAUGGUUUGUUAAUCCGUAGAAUAUUCUUGUGUUUCUGUGUAUCAGUUUGGAAGUGCAUCUGCUUCUGAGAUGCUCAUUUGGGCAAAG
rnacentral:pre_miRNA from 2 species